CGCUCGGAUACGAUGAUGCAUAAUUGACAUCUCGGAAGCACAUACCUGACUUACGAUCGUCAUUGGAGCAUUGCAGAAACACCCAGAACUCUGAGACAAGAGGAGCAACUACUGGUUUCUGCAGCUGAAGCAUAGAGUGGAUUAAACAGGGAUCAGACCUAGCCGCGGCUGUUGUGACUUCACUCACUUCCUGUUGAUUUUCUGGGUUUAGGCUCUGUAUAAAAACUAAUUUUUGGUUCACCAGUGUUCAGGAUGUCUGUAGUUGUCACCUAUUUUCUGCUAAAAGGAGAGAAUUCGACACUACUUUUCGACUUCGUAGAUACGGUGACUACACGUUGGUGAAGGUCAUAAACUGAGAACUACUUUGUUGAAGAGAUAUUAGGAAAUACACUAAACCAUCAACAUCAUUACCGGAGACCAUGAACAAAUAGAAACAUGAUAGUACAGUUGAGUCUUUUGGUGCGCACAGUACAGGGAGAGACUUCUCAGAAGGGGCAAAUAGAGGUUUCUUUUGUGACAAACUGGUAUUUUGCAAAUCAAAAUUGCUGCAAGCAAGAAGGCAGGGUCCGGUCUCUAGGAAGAAGUAUAUGUGGCUGGAUAUUGAGAAUAGGAGCUCCAUGUUUGGUUUUCAGUUGCCUGGUGCCUGGUUACAUGCUUCUUGAUAGGUUCGACGGUGUUUUUGGAGUUCAUAUAUGACAUCUAUAGGGAUGUACUUGAGGUUUCCAGUUGUGGUUACACUUCUGAUUUGCCUGACACAUGAAUCUCUCUCAUUUGAAUAUCAGAAACCUUUUCCUCUUGUUGAAGAAAUUUCAAACACUGCUCAAAUUCGUGUAUCAAAUGAAGCACAUGAGGCAUUCGCAAAUAUAACAUUUCCAAUUGCAGUUGUAUCUGUAAGUCUAUUAGCUUGGUUGUUAUAAAUUGAUAACUAUAUCUAUAUCAAAAUAUCCUUUACAAUUGUUUGUUCUUCCCCAAUCUGCUCUUACCUUAGGUGAUUGGGCCAAAGGCCUCGGGAAAGUCAUUUUUCUUGAAUAAAUUGCUCCAGCUUUCUUGCAAUGAAGGUAAAAGCUUCUUGCCUAUUAUAAAUUUUCAAUUUAAGCCUUUAAUCCCAUUUAUGUUUGUUUAACUGAAUUUUGAACUGAAAUGCUCUUCAACUCUAGGCUUCAAUGUGGGGGACCUUCAUGGCAGGAGUAGAAAAGGAAUAUGGGGAGUGUUGAUAAAUAUAAAGAUUGAGGGAGCUCAAAGUGUUGUGUUAUAUCUUGACACUGAUGCCGUGGACAGGGUUGGAAAUACUGAGUUCUAUGAUGAC